rnacentral:rRNA from 1 species
GUACGGGAGGCAGCAGUGGGGAAUUUUGCGCAAUGGACGAAAGUCUGACGCAGCAACGCCGCGUGGGUGAUGAAGGUCUUCGGACUGUAAAACCCUGUCGUCAGGGACGAAGGUUGGGGGGUUAAUAACCCUUCAGCUUGACGGUACCUGGAGAGGAAGCCCCGGCUAACUCUGUGCCAGCAGCCGCGGUAAUACAGAGGGGGCAAGCGUUAUUCGGAAUUAUUGGGCGUAAAGGGCGCGUAGGCGGUUUUUUAAGUCAGAUGUGUAAUCCCCGAGCUCAACUUGGGAACUGCAUCUGAGACUGGAAGGCUAGAGUACUGGAGAGGGUGGUGGAAUUCCUCGUGUAGCGGUGAAAUGCGUAGAGAUGAGGAGGAACACCAGUGGCGAAGGCGGCCACCUGGACAGUAACUGACGCUGAGGCGCGAAAGUGUGGGUAGCAAACAGGAUUAGAUACCCGCGUAGUCC